rnacentral:lncRNA from 1 species
AUGAAUCCAAAUUUUUCUCAGUGUUCUUGUUUCAUCAUUUUCAGCUCGGGAGAUCUCUCGACCCCUUUUCUCGAGGAUGAUACUCCUGAGUCAACCUCUGAGAAGCUAGCAUCUGAAGAGCGACUUCAGUCUCAAUCGUCCUCUUCUGAAAAUGAGUCUGAUACAUCAGACUCAAAUUCUGAAGAACCUGAUGAAUCAGAAUCUUUAGAUGAUGAAAAUGACGACAGAGAUUUGGAGUUAGAAAAUAAAUUGGAAUCUUCUCAUAUCGACGUUGACCAGACUAAAGAGCCCUCUGUUAUUAUCAGGUAUUUUUCACCAAAAAAUCAUUAUGUGCGCUUCAAAGCGAUGAACUUUAAAAGGAUUGCACGUUAUACAUUUCAAAUGUGCAUCUGGUUAUAAACAUAGAACUUUAAAUUUCAAACAGGUUUAAAAUAAAACACCGAAGUUGAUGGUUCAUACUCAAAACGACGAUUUUCAAUUAUAAUUAAUUGAUUUCUAUUAUCUGCGCAAGGAAAAAUUGAUUGAUUUUCUGGACCACUUUUGAUGUAGGGAUAGAAAAAACACGGGCCAAUUAAUACUAACCAAGCAAUACCACUUCAAGUUUGAGGUUGUAUGGUUAGGUAAAACUAACUAUUAACUAAGUCACUAAAUAUAUUGUAAGUUCUGAGACGAAGUGCUGAAUUCUAUUUGAGUAAUUAAACAUUCAGUUUCAGAGCUACCAAUCAUUAAUUGGUUAAAACCAUAGCCUAGUUAAGGCCUUUCAUGAACCCCCUAUCGAAUUUAGACCAAGAUAUCAUUUACCAAUUAUUUCUUUGGUAAAAAUUGAGAUUAAUCUCCUACUUUAAUUAAUCUCGUAUUUUUGUGAUAUUUGCAGGUCGAAGAAAGUCGUGUGUAAAGAUUUACCGGACAUCGAUAUGACGCCGUGGAAGCUCUAAUAUUGUAUUAGACAUUGAAUCCGGAAGUUCAUCGACUCAAAAAAUCAACCAACUAAAUUCAGGCGUCUGAGAGGUCAAGAUCCUGAAGACAUGCCGAUACCACUUUUACCAGCAGUCCACUCACCACCACAUUCAACUCAUAUCACACUCAUCUCGUAGUAUUCAGAUGAAAUAUAUUUUUAAGACUUUAUAUUAGCAUCUCGCCGAAUAUGUAGUGUAAAAGUUUUGUUUAGAAGGCAACUUUCAGAUUCGCCUAAAUAUGACAGUUGACCGAAAAGUUGAGCAAUAUAUUUUGGCAAACCGAUAACAUUAUUGCAAAAACGCGCCUGACGAAGUCCAGACCCUACCGCAUCCGCCAGUUACCUAUCAUCAGCGGAAUCGCAUGUCUAACAAAUUGCUCAUCAAUCUAAAUAGGCUAAAAAUAGCGUGACCCGUGAACUUAAUUUCUGGCCCACGCAUUUAAAUUUGUUAGAUUAGCAGUCCUGCGACUCGAUUGUUGAAAAGUAAUCGAAUGAUUUUGAUCGAUAAAUCCCUGUCUUAGCAAUGCUUUUUAUCGAUCAAGGACAUUUGAUAUCGAUUGAAUAAUCGAGCCUCAGGGUCUCUAUACAUUAUCUCUGAACGUAGUCGUAUCUUUUGCGUUCAAUAGGCCUAUUGAGGGGAAGUAAGAACUGAUUUUUGAAGUGUAAAUCUAAUUUUACGACUGCCCCUCCAUUUUGCGGGUUAUACUACAAAUAUUUUGAAUAAAGCGAUAAACGAAGAAUACAAUAGCGAAUGAGUGAAGUACACGUUUGCUCUUCCGAGCGUGGCAAGAACUGAAGAAAACCAAAGCAACUGUAAGUUCCGGCAUUUCUUUGGAUCCAAAUACUAAAAGAAAAAAGAAUUGCGACGACUCAACUUUCGACCUCGUGACGGAUAUUUUAAUAAGUUGUUUCUUCAACGCGGAACGCGACAAGCAAUUUCCCACAACAAUGCCUUCGCGCAUGAUUUGCUUUUUUCCAUUGUAGAAGAUUGUUUCAAAAUUUCUACGGAAUCACUCUGACUCCUAGAUAAACUUGCUUUGAUAACCACCAAAGUUGCACAAGGGGAAAUUCGGAUUAGAUUAUGGAAAAAAAUUGAUGAAUCCGAUUUUCCUCAUUGUGGGAUACAUGUGUAUUUAUCAAUAAAUCUUCGCGAAUGAAUUAUCAAAAAAGUCCCUUCUCAAAAAUAUGAAAAUGAAUGAAUCGGAAAGUUCAAUGAGCAAUAAAGAUAUUUUGGAUCAUUUCCAGUUUUGAUUUCUCUUGUUUAUCCCACGGGAAAAAAUUGCCGCUGGCCUGCGUAUCUAAGAGUGCACCCUGCUGAUUUUCUACUCUGACUCUCCACACAUUUUAAGUAGCUGUUUAGUGCUGGCAUUGAUAUAGAGAGAAAAUGUGAGGAGUUGAGAGUGUUUAUCGAUGAAAAUAUUUUUUGGUCUACAUUUUCUGUUUCUUUUUAAAAUUGCAUGAGCUACGGAAGUCAACCAGAUCCUGAGAUAAUUUUACAUACUCCUGAAAGUCUAUAGUGGCAGUAAAAUCAGCUAACUGGUCUGAAUGUCCAUGCUGUACUGUUAAAAACAAACGUUUUUACGAAUGUCGAGGUUUUACCACUGUUAUAAAAAUCAAUUAAGAGGUAGCUGUCAUUAAAAUGCAUGAAAAUUGAUCAAUGAGAUUUAGAGCAGGCCUCAUUAAAAACUGACGAUUCCUCUAAUGGCCCCUUCUCCGAAAAAAGGCAAAAAAAUCCUAAACAAAUAAAUGCCCAUGGCAAUGAGUGACCGUACUGCCAACAUGUCUAACUCAACAAAUUCAACAGUUACGCAAUGCCUUGACCAAAACAAAAAUAACUGAAUGACCACUCAAUUGUGUUAGGUAUCGUAAUAUUACAAUUUAUUUGUCAAACUCUUUCUUUCAAUAGUUUUCAAGGCUGCUCAACGCUGAACUUCCAAUGCUAUCGUGGUGAUUCCCUCAACUUAAAACGUAAAUGCAAAUAUUGUGGAGAUAUAGUGAAGAAACUGUCAUUACCACAGAUUCUCAUGAACAGUUAUAUUUACACAGUCAAGUGCACAAAACGCAGUCUCAUAAACAGUACACGAGUAAACUCAUCAGUUUCCAACCUUAGGAGUGAAAUUUGUGUUACAAUGUUGGGUUGUAAAAUCCUAGUAAGAAUUCUCGUUGAUCGAUACCUAAUCAAUAAUAUUAUAAGUAGGUAACUACUUCGAAACAGACAUUCUCCAAACAUGAGAGGAAGUGUGGUUAAAACCAAAACCUUACGUCGAAAAAUCAAACAUAGCAAAAUCAACAUUGGGUACUGACUUCUCAAAAGUGGGUGAAAGGCAUAAGUGGAAAUUUGCUCAGUUAGUGUCCUUUUGGUGUUUUCGUUAUCUGAAACUUUUUUUUAAAAAAAUAUGUAGCCAUAUUUGUUUAAAAAACAAAGUCAAUAUAUAGACUCACCUUCGCAGAUUCAUUACGCAUCAGUCAGUAUUUCAUUUUAUCCCAAAAAUGAACUUUGCCGCAAGGAUUCUCUAUACUGAAUCGAUUAAUUUCUAAAGGACGUAAGCACCACCGACAAUUCGCGAAAACGAGCAAAAAGUUGCUUUGGCCGUAACCGGUCAAAAAAACCGUAAAUUCAAAAGAUUUGUUUCUCUUCUUCUUCUUCUUUUUCUUCUUCUUCUUCUUCUUCUUCUUCUUCAUCGACUAGGGCAAAGCCCUGUUUGUCAGGCCAUCAAGUAACGAGCACAAGAAUCAAUAUAUAAGUAUUAAAAAUCUAAAAAUCACUUAAAAUAAAGGACUUAAAGAUUUUUUGAAGUUAUAAAAUCCGAUCCUCUUGAACGUCGUUCUGUUCCAAGAUACAUCUCUGCUGUCGCAAUAAUAAUCCAUUGCAAUCGCAUUUUUGAAGUUUUGACAUUUUCAUGCAUCAUUUUGAAAAAAAUCCGUUUAGUGUGGAAGGGCCUUCACUUGUUCAUGUAUUAAGAGAGACAAACGGAAUGAGGGGUCACCCUAGCAAGGUGGCAAUGACACUCAAACUUAACAAAACCAGUCACUCUGCAUAAUGUGCCUCAGAGGUGAUAACGGAGCGGUUAAUUUUCUCACAGGAAGUAAAGCUAUUUAUCAGUUGAGAACAGCGUGAAGGCCCCUCUUUAAGCCCAAUACUUGCCGCAGUAGCUCUCUGCCGUGGGGUGAAUAACGCUUUUUUUCCUCAAGUCGAUUUCCCGUCAGAAAAUCCAAGGAGUAUUCAGAGUCACCCGUGUGUCGCGGCAGUGUGAGGUUCGAUUUCCCAUCUGAAUGAGAUCGUAGUACGUGACAGCGCUAACGUGUAAGCAAAGUGAUUUUGAAGGAUCACAAGUCAAUGACAAGUUUGAGGAAAUUCCUGUUGCGUUUUUCGGGGCGAGGGUGAUAAAGUAAGCAGAAUAUAAAAGCGGGUUCUGGGCAGAAGUGCGAGACCAUUUACCCAUACAAAAUGGUCACGGGUAGAGUAAUUCUACUAGGUGUUGUACUUGUGUUUGUGUUAUCGGCGUGCAAAGUGGUUUUAGUAGUCAAUUCGGUCCAUCGGCGAGUCGUCCCAACACUCAGUUCAGCUCGACGCAGCAAAAACCGAGUCCCUUCGAGCCCAGCCCCCCAAAACCCCCGAAAAAACCCAAACCGGAGGACACCGUGAGCUGCAAAUGCCCCAAAGUGUGAGUAUUUUGUCUUUCAAUACUGUUCCACAGUAGAGAAUUUGUAGGUGUCUGAAAUUUGAUGGAUUUCGUGUUUAAGUGGAAACUACAGUAGACUCUGGAUUAUCCGGAUUAAUUGGUGUCGAGCCCGAUCCGGAUAAAAUAAAUCCGGAUGAUAAUAGGAAACACAAACACCACCAACCAACACUACAGUAUUCUUAUUAUGUAUAUACGUCGUCAGUGAGCUCGUCGGCGGCGAGCCAAUCAUCAAGGGUUUUUCCAGUCACCUUAUCGCCGGGUAGUUGUUGUAGUAAUGCUA